UAUGCAGUACUGAAGUAAAGCAUUCUCAUUUACUUGUGAAAUAACUUCUGCCUUAGAUGUUUCAUAUCAAGGUAGAGCAUGACAAACUAUUUUAGAAGAGCAUUAAGAAAAGAAAUCAGGAGGCAAGUUUGAAACAAUAUUAGAAUGGAUAUGCAAUGGAUAGCUGAUAUGCUAUUGAGUGCUGAGGUAAUGACACUAUUGGUUGUCAUCACUCAUGUAGUUAUUUCCCACACAAUUUUGUGUUGGACUCAUACAGAUGGACAAAAUCCUGCUCUACUAUGAUGGACAGCAGCACAAGGUUGAAGGACAGGCAAGAUAUUACACCUCAGAAUCCUGCUCUAGCCCUCAAAAAACUGAUUGUCAGAAUCUGCUUGGUUUCCCAAUAACCUUUUUCCUACAGAGGAACCAAAGAUUCUGUGGUAGGAGCUGAUGUACUGCAGCUCUGAUCACAUUUCAGCAACCUGGAGAUAAUCUGUUUAUUAGUUAUGGCUUCCUUGAGGUGUGACAUCACUUGUACAAAAAUCAAUUGGUUAUUAACUCCAGCUAGUGCCUAGCAUCUUUAAACUAUGAGGCACUUUUUCUGUUAUUAAAAUCAUUUUCCUUACUAAAUACUAUAAGCUUGUAAUGCAUAUCAUUUCAUCAGCUAAGUCUUCUUCAUAUCGUCCAGUAUCUGGUUCUUCAUCGCUGUAUCCAGGACCAAAAUCUUGAAGUUCAUAAUCUUGUCUGCUUAAAAUGGGAAACAUAUCCCCAUUGGUCCCAUUGCUGAUACUUCCAUUGAGAAGAUUACUUGCUGCACUUUCCAUCUCAUCAAUAGUCAUGUCACAUGCAUCAGCAAUCUCAUGCUUUGUAGCUGAAACAAACUUAGGGUCCUUUGCAUACCUUCCUAGGCCUUCAGAUAUAAGUACCUGGCAGGUGGAGGGAUGAGGGGGGAGAGAAUGAAACAUUCAGUGCACUUACAGAAGAACAGCUAAAUCAUAAAAAUGUUUCUUAUUUAUGGAAAAUUCUGGAAACUCCAUGUUAACUAACUACAGCAACCCACAGCAAAACUGUAUAUACAAAGAACCAUCAAAUAGCUCCAAACUGCACUGUAUCAAUUUUGUAAUAAUGUAAUGAAUCGCUUCUGUGAUAAUGUAAAUGCAAGAUACUUGGCAGGGUUUUUUUGUCAGAAACUGGGGAGUCUCAAUAAACGUCAAACAUCA